rnacentral:lncRNA from 1 species
CCUGUAAUCCCAGCACUUUGGGAGGCCGAGGUGGGUGCAUCACUUGAGGUCAGGAGUUUGAGACCAGCCUGGCCAACAUGGUGAAACCCGGUCUCUACUAAAAGUACAAAAAUUAGCUAGGUGUGGUGGCAGGCGCCUAUAAUCCCAGCUACAGGCCCUGGUGUGUGAUGUUCCUCUCCCUGUGUCCAUGUGUUCUCAUUGUUCAACUCUCACUUAUGAGUGAGAACAGGCGUGUUUGGUUUUCUGAUCUUGUGAUAGUUUGCUGAGAAUGAUGGUUUCCAGCUUCAUCCAUGUCCCUGUAAAGGACGUGAACUCAUCCUCUUUUAUGGCUGCAUAGUAUUCCAUGGUGUAUAUGUGCCACAUUUUCUUAAUCCAGUCUAUCAUUGAUGGACAUUUGGGUUGGUGCCAAGUCUUUGCUGUUGUGAACAGUGCUGCCAUAAACAUACGUGUGCAGGUGUUUUUUAUCGUAGAAUGAUUUAUAAUACUUUGGGUAUAUGCCCAGUAAUGAGAUUGCUGGGUCAAAUGGUAUUUCUAGUUCUAGAUCCUUGAGGAAUCACCACACUGUCUUCCACAAUGGUUGAAC